rnacentral:rRNA from 1 species
AAAGUUUGAUCCUGGCUCAGGAUGAACGCUAGCUACAGGCUUAACACAUGCAAGUCGAGGGGCAGCAUGUUGGUUGCUUGCAACCAACGAUGGCGACCGGCGCACGGGUGAGUAACGCGUAUCCAACCUACCCUUGUCCAUCGGAUAACCCGUCGAAAGGCGGCCUAACACGAUAUGCGGUUCACAGCAGGCAUCUAACGUGAACGAAAUGUAAAGGAGAAGGAUGGGGAUGCGUCUGAUUAGCUUGUUGGCGGGGUAACGCCACAAGGCUACGAUCAGUAGGGUCUGAGAGGAAGGUCCCCCANAUUGGAACUGAGACACGGUCCAAACUCCGAACGGGAGGCA